rnacentral:rRNA from 1 species
CCCGUACCGUAAACCGACACAGGUGGAUGAGGAGAGAAUCCUAAGGCCGGCGGAAGAAGUAUUGCCAAGGAACUCGGCAAAAUGGCCCCGUAACUUAGGGAGAAGGGGUGCCUGCGAGAGCAGGCCGCAGAGAAUAGGCUCAAGCAACUGUUUAGCAAAAACACAGGUCUAUGCGAAACCGAAAGGUGAGGUAUAUGGGCUGACGCCUGCCCGGUGCUGGAAGGUUAAGAGGAGAGGUUAGCGGUAACGCGAAGCUUUGAAUUUAAGCCCCAGUAAACGGCGGCCGUAACUAUAACGGUCCUAAGGUAGCGAAAUUCCUUGUCGGGUAAGUUCCGACCCGCACGAAAGGCGUAAUGAUUUGAGCGCUGUCUCGGCAAUACAUCCGGUGAAAUUGAAGUGCCAGUGAAGAUGCUGGCUACCCGCGCCAGGACGGAAAGACCCCAUGGAGCUUUACUCCAGUUUGGCACUGGGGUCCGGUGUUGCAUGUACAGGAUAGGUGGGAGGCUGAGAAACGGUAACGUCAGUUGCCGCGGAGCCGCUGUUGGGAUACCACCCUUGUGAUAUUGGGCUUCUAUCCAGCCGCCGUGAUCCGGCGGUGGGACAAUGCCAGGCGGGGAGUUUGACUGGGGCGGUCGCCUCCGAAAGGGUAUCGGAGGCGCCCAAAGGUUCCCUCAGAAUGGACGGAAACCAUUCGAAGAGUGCAAAGGCAGAAGGGAGCUUGACUGCGACACCGACGGGUGGAGCAGGUACGAAAGUAGGGCUUAGUGAUCCGGUGGUAUUAAGUGGGAAUGCCAUCGCUCAACGGAUAAAAGCUACCCUGGGAUAACAGGCUUAUCACUCCCAAGAGUUCACAUCGACGGAGUGGUUUGGCACCUCGAUGUCGGCUCAUCGCAUCCUGGGGCUGUAGUAGGUCCCAAGGGUUGGGCUGUUCGCCCAUUAAAGCGGUACGCGAGCUGGGUUCAGAACGUCGUGAGACAGUUCGGUCCCUAUCCGGCGUGGGCGUAGGAUAUCUGAGAGGAGCUGUCCUUAGUACGAGAGGACCGGGAUGGACGGACCGCUGGUGGACCGGUUGGCUUGCCAAAGCCAUGGCCGGGUAGCCAAGUCCGGAAGGGAUAAACGCUGAAGGCAUCUAAGCGUGAAGCCCCCCUCAAGAUGAGAUAUCCCAUUCUUUAGUGAAGUAAACCCCCUUGAAGACGACGAGGUAGAUAGGGCAGGGGUGGAAGUGUGGUAACACAUGGAGCUGACUGUUACUAAUCGGGUGAGGGCUUGACC